rnacentral:rRNA from 1 species
GUGAGGGAUAUUGCACAAUGGGCGAAAGCCUGAUGCAGCAACGCCGCGUGAGGGAUGACGGUUUUCGGAUUGUAAACCUCUGUCUUCGGUGACGAAAAAAUGACGGUAACCGGGGAGGAAGCCACGGCUAACUACGUGCCAGCAGCCGCGGUAAUACGUAGGUGGCGAGCGUUGUCCGGAAUUACUGGGUGUAAAGGGAGCGCAGGCGGGACAGCAAGUUGGAUGUGAAAUACCGGAGCUUAACUUCGGAGCUGCAUCCAAAACUGUUGUUCUUGAGUGGAGUAGAGGCAAGCGGAAUUCCGAGUGUAGCGGUGAAAUGCGUAGAUAUUCGGAGGAACACCAGUGGCGAAGGCGGCUUGCUGGGCUCUAACUGACGCUGAGGCUCGAAAGUGUGGGGAGCAAACAGG